UAGUUUUUGAUGAUAUAUGGAAUAUAAGGUUUUGGGGAUAUAUAAAACAUGCUUUACCAGAUAAUGGCAAAGGUAGUAGAAUAAUAAUCACAACUCGAAGUGAAAGUAUUGCUCCCACUAACAAAGAAUCUCCAUCUUAUCAUAUGUAUAAGUUGUCACCUCUACCUUUAGAAAAAGCCUACGAACUUUUCUAUAAGAAAGUAUUCCAAUGUGAAUCAAGGGAUUAUUCUCUUGAAUUAGUUGAAUUGUCACAUCUUAUAAUUGAGAGAUGCGAAGGGUUGCCAUUAGCACUUGAGGUUAUAGGUGGUCUUUUGUCUACCAAGAAAAAGACUGCUUUUGAGUGGUGCAAAUUUCUCGAUAGCCUUAGUUCAGAGCUACAAAGUGAUCCUCAUCUUCUAAGUAUUACCAAAAUUCUAUCACUUAGCUAUUUUGAUCUACCUUACAACCUCAAAGCUUGUUUCUUAUACUUAGGCAUGUUUCCAGAGGAUUACUUCAUCAAUUGUGCAAGACUAAUUAGGCUUUGGAUUGUCGAAGGGUUUAUAAAAGAAAAACAAGGGAUAACAUUGGAAGAUGUUGCACAAGACUACUUGAAGCAGCUCAUUCAUAGAAGUUUGAUUCAAGUGGAACAUGUCGGUUUUAUUGGCAGAAUUAGAAUGUGUCGAGUUCAUGAUAUGAUGCGUGAGGUCAUUUUAUCUAGGUCAGAGGACUUAGGUUUCCAUGUGGUCUCAAUACAAAACUACUCAAGUUUUGAUAGGAUUGCUCGAUGCCUCUCAAUUCGGAAUAAUGUAGAUACUCCUUUGAAGUAUAUUACCAGUUCCAAAACUCGUUCUAUUCUCAUUUUGGGAGUAUAUCAAGUGUCCAAUGCUUUUCUUACUACUUGUUUUGUAAAUUUCAAACUCAUGAAAAUUAUGGAUUUCGAAGGUGCUCCUAUAAAUCACAUUCCUAAGGAAGUAGGCAACUUAUUCCAUCUAAGAUAUUUAAGCUUGAGAGAUACAAAAGUGCAGGUGCUUCCAAAGUCCAUAGGUAAACUACAGAACUUAGAGUCUUUGGAUUUGAAACGUUCCCUUGUGUACAAGCUACCAAUGGAGAUCAAUGGGCUCUGUAAGCUACGAUACCUCGUGGCCUACAUUGGAAACAAUAAUAUUGACGUUAGUUUUGGUUCUCGAAGACCAGUAAAGAUACAAAGUGGCAUUGGGUCUUUACUCUUUAGAGUCCUUGGAGAAGCUUUAUAAUGUGGAAGCCGACUGUGCUGCCCUUGUUGAAGAGUUAGGAAGGUUGACGCAGUUGAGAAAGUUAGAAAUCUCUAAACUAAAGCGGGAACACGGGAUGUCUUUGUGCACUGCAUUGGAAAAAAUGAGCUACCUUCGAUCGUUGAGACUCAGUUCAACAAGUGAAGAAGAAAAUCUUGAAUUGCAAUCAAUGUCUUCUGCAAAUUAUUUUCCUAUUGCUUUAUCUUUCUCUCUAUUGGCCAUGUAUUGACAAGUUUAUGUUCAUUUCCGAUACAAAUCUGAGUCUGCAUUUCUUCUUACAGAGUGUGACCCCGAAUUUGUCUUUGGGUGGGGAAGUAUUUUGGGUUGGUCAGCAUUGAAAGUCCGGUAUUGGCUAUGCUGCUCGUUACAACACUGACAAGAUGGUUGCCACGGGGCAAGUUGCCAGCACUGGAAUGGUUGCACUCAGUUAUGUUCAGAAUUCUGAGAAGGUUUCUCUAGCAUCAGAAUUUAUGUACAACUACCUGUCAAGAGACGUCACCGCAAGUGUUGGCUAUGAUUACAUUCUUAGACAGGUGAAUUCUGCUUUUGCAAAUUUUAUACUACCUAUUGAAUGUGACUAGCUACUUGCUAGGUGUUUUAUUACUUUGGAGUUUAUCAACUGAUUUUGCAAAAUAGAUUGUUUAUCUGCUAAUGCUAUUAUGACUUGUAAUGAGGAUUCAGUUCAGUGAAGCUGUUCUCAUAUAUUGAUAUUCUAUUAAUUAAUGUGGUAUGGGGUGGUUUAUCAAAAUUGUUUGCUAGCUUAAUACCAAUUGACAAACAAUCAAUUUUUUCUUAAUACCUUCGCACGUUUGUUAGUUUCGUAUGUGAGUUUUUGUGUAGAUUUAAGUUAUAUAGAGUGUAUGCGGAAAUAAGUUAUGUAGAUGCGUGUGCAUGUGUUAUCUCCCAAUUCCUUU